rnacentral:rRNA from 3 species
UAAGCCUGUGAAGGUGGCCUGUGAGGGUUGCUGGAGGUAUCAGAAGUGCGAAUGCUGACAUAAGUAACGAUAAAGCGGGUGAAAAGCCCGCUCGCCGGAAGACCAAGGGUUCCUGUCCAACGUUAAUCGGGGCAGGGUGAGUCGACCCCUAAGGCGAGGCCGAAAGGCGUAGUCGAUGGGAAACGGGUUAAUAUUCCCGUACUUGGUGUUACUGCGAAGGGGGGACGGAGAAGGCUAUGUUGGCCGGGCGACGGUUGUCCCGGUUUAAGCGUGUAGGUGUGUGUUCCAGGUAAAUCCGGUUCACUUUAACACUGAGGCGUGAUGACGAGGCACUACGGUGCUGAAGCAACAAAUGCCCUGCUUCCAGGAAAA